rfam:Solenopsis invicta Si_gnG.contig07878, whole genome shotgun sequence.
AAAUCGGCCCUUUUCAGGGCCACAAAUGUUUCCAACGUUUGAACA